rnacentral:rRNA from 1 species
AUUGAACGCUGGCGGCAUGCUUUACACAUGCAAGUCGAACGGUAACAGGCCUUCGGGUGCUGACGAGUGGCGAACGGGUGAGUAAUGCAUCGGAACGUGCCCAGAGGUGGGGGAUAACGCAGCGAAAGCUGUGCUAAUACCGCAUGUGAUCUGAGGAUGAAAGCGGGGGACCAGGCAGCAAUGUUUGGCCUCGCGCCUUUGGAGCGGCCGAUGUCAGAUUAGGUAGUUGGUGGGGUAAAGGCCUACCAAGCCGACGAUCUGUAGCUGGUCUGAGAGGACGACCAGCAACACUGGGACUGAGACACGGCCCAGACUCCUACGGGAGGCAGCAGUGGGGAAUUUUGGACAAUGGGCGCAAGCCUGAUCCAGCAAUGCCGCGGGCGGGAAGAAGGCCUUCGGGUUGUAAACCGCUUUUGUACGGAACGAAAAGGCUCUGGCUAAUACCUGGGGCUGAUGACGGUACCGUAAGAAUAAGCACCGGCUAACUACGU